UUCUGAUCUCAGAUUUUCAAACUUCCCAACAAAUUGAAAAUUUCAUUUAGAUUUUUCCCAGACAAAUAUAACUCUAAAACUGUUUUCCAAUUGUUUCUUUUGAUGACAUUUUUGUUUAUUAUAUCAACCAGAUGAUAACUAUGAUAACAUUAGUGAGUAUGUCCAAUACUGUAUCAAGUUUAGUUGAUAGUGCAUUUUUUUCACAUGCAUGUUAAGUCACCAAUAAAAUAUUUAAAUUUGUCUAUAAAUUUGUGAAGCUAAAAGGUACAGUGUUUUAUGCUGAUCUUCAUGCCACCAUCCUUGAGUAUGUCCUUCCACUGUUCAAACCUUUCCUCGCCUUCCUCUUUGGUGUUUAUAUAGAGUGCAUUAUCAUCUGUUAUCUGAUUGCUCUUUACAUCCAUUAAAAUUGCAAAAAGUGAAUGUCUCAAAGGCUGAACUUUGGACAUUCACCUAAACAUGGAAGGCAUCUGUAGUAUCAGAUCCACUCACCCUUAUUCUAUUUUCUUCAUAUAUGUCCUGUAUCAGUCUCAUAUCUUCUCAGACAUCAUCUUUCUUCUCAAGCUUUUCCAUAUUUCUGAUCUUGGUAUUCCAUCAAAAGAUACGGUGUAUUUUAAAUCAAUGAAGACUAGAGAGAAUUCUUUAUUACCUUCUAAUAGUUUUUAAUAAGUUGUUUCAAGGAAAAAAUAAUAUCUAUUGUUCCCUUGUCAGAUAUGAAACUAAAUUGCUCAUCACUGAUUGUUAUUCUAUCACAUAAUCACUAUUAAUACUGAAUAACAGCACUUAAAUGCAGUUCUGGGAA
rnacentral:lncRNA from 1 species